CUAGUCUUAUCGGUGGAUCACUCGGCUCGUGGAUCGAUGAAGAACGCAGCCAACUGCGAUAAUUAGUGCGAACUGCAGAAACCUUGAGCACAAAACUUUCGAAUG
rnacentral:rRNA from 1 species